rnacentral:rRNA from 1 species
AAGUCGUAACAAGGUCUCCGUUGGUGAACCAGCGGAGGGAUCAUUACCGAGUUUACAACUCCCAAACCCCUGUGAACAUACCUUAAUGUUGCCUCGGCGGAUCAGCCCGCGCCCCGUAAAACGGGACGGCCCGCCAGAGGACCCAAACUCUAAUGUUUCUUAUUGUAACUUCUGAGUAAAACAAACAAAUAAAUCAAAACUUUCAACAACGGAUCUCUUGGUUCUGGCAUCGAUGAAGAACGCAGCAAAAUGCGAUAAGUAAUGUGAAUUGCAGAAUUCAGUGAAUCAUCGAAUCUUUGAACGCACAUUGCGCCCGCUGGUAUUCCGGCGGGCAUGCCUGUUCGAGCGUCAUUUCAACCCUCAAGCCCUCGGGUUUGGUGUUGGGGAUCGGCUCUGCCUUCUGGCGGUGCCGCCCCCGAAAUACAUUGGCGGUCUCGCUGCAGCCUCCAUUGCGUAGUAGCUAACACCUCGCAACUGGAACGCGGCGCGGCCAUGCCGUAAAACCCCAACUUCUGAAUGUUGACCUCGGAUCAGGUAGGAAUACCCGCUGAACUUAAGCAUAUCAAUAAG